CCUACGGGAGGCAGCAGUGAGGAAUAUUGGUCAAUGGACGCAAGUCUGAACCAGCCAUGCCGCGUGCAGGAUGACGGCGCUAUGAGUUGUAAACUGCUUUUGUACGAGGGUAAACCCCGAUACGUGUAGCGGGUUGAAAGUAUCGUACGAAUAAGGAUAGGCUAACUCCGUGCCAGCAGCCGCGGUAAGACGGAGGAUCCGAGCGUUAUCCGGAUUUAUUGGGGUUAACGGGUGCGUAGGCGGUUUGCUAAGUUAGAGGUGAACUGUCGGGGCUCCACCCCGAAACUGCCUCUCAUACGGUUGGACUAGAGCAUAGUUGCGGUAGGCGGCAUGUCUGGUGUAGCGGU
rnacentral:rRNA from 1 species